rnacentral:ncRNA from 1 species
GAGGGAAGCAAUUAAAAGGGAAUCAGGUGUAAAUCCUGAACAGUCCCGCUGCUGUAAGUUCCAAUAAAAUAAUGUUGUGAGCAAUUCACUCUCAGCCACUGGAAAGAAUAAAUCCGGGAAGGCGCCCACAACAGGAAUAAGUCAGAAGACCUGCCAUGUAAUUUC